UGCCCUGGAGCGGGGGGAUAACAUCUGGAAACAGGUGCUAAUACCGCAUAACAACGAAAACCACAUGGUUUCGUUUCAAAGAUGGUUUCGGCUAUCACUUCAGGAUGGGCCCACGGUGCAUUAGCUAGUUGGUAAGGUAACGGCUUACCAAGGCGAUGAUGCAUAGCCGAGUUGAGAGACUGAUCGGCCACAAUGGAACUGAGACACGGUCCAUACUCCUACGGGAGGCAGCAGCG
rnacentral:rRNA from 1 species